ensembl:lncRNA
CAAGCCUGUUGAGAACUGAGGUUUCGGGGCGUCGACUUGUUUUGUCCUGAGCCAAUCGGAAUAGUGUUUUCACACUUUGUAAACAACACGUUUACACGAUACACGCUGUUUGUAAAACAGUCUACUACAAGUCAUGGACGUGUCACUUCACUUCUCUCAGUACAGGAUAAUGGAAACAUGGAUAAAACGUGGCAUCGAGGAUUGUGCUGGCGUUUAAGUGCUAUACGAAUGCUGCUCUUCCAUCCACGUUCUUCAAAGCUAAAGAUGGACGGAGACCCGGCUGGACAUGGAGACCUAAAAGAAAGUGGAAUGGAGGUCCAAAACCCUGCUUCUUUCUCCUGCUUCACUUCAUGCCCCUCAUGUUUGUUUCAUUUUCAUUCUUACUUAAUGCAAAAAAAAUAAAAA